GCGGCCCGGGACGGAAGGCAGGUUCUGCCCGGGCUGCGGCGGCUCCGGCGGGUGCGGAGAGAAGUGGGAGUGAUCUGCUCGCGUACAGGUCAAGAAUGAUAUCAUCAAGCUCAGAUGGCCAGCCGGAGUACUCGAAGAAGAAUUUCAGCCCAACGAGGCAUUGGAACAUUGCCAAGAUCAUCCUGCUCAUCAGCAUGGGCAUGUGUCUCAUGUUGGUCGUCGAGAACAUGCGACUCCGUUCGGUGGUAGACAUGUCAAUACAAGAGGCAAACAAGAUAGAUCUGCGGUCUGAAGUCCAUCAAAACGGCCAGAAGGAGAAAGCUUUCA